CGGCAAUUCAGAAAGUCUGCAUCUUUGGGCGUAUAAUACCCGACCAGUAGGAGCACACUGGUUGUUGCUUGCUAUCAACCCUAUAAGAGAAGUCGUGUAUUAUCUGAAUUCGGUAAAUGGUGACUGGACCAAUUAUCCGGCUAUGAAGGAAAUCGUUGAUUUAUCAAUACAAGUGUUCCGAAGUCAACGGGACGCACAGGUAUCCCGGACUAAAUCAAACAACAUUACUUGGAUCAAAGUGCAGUGUCCGCAACAGCGAAACAGUUCAGAUUGCGGAUACUUUGUUUUGAGGUUUAUGAAAGAAAUCCUUCAGGCGAAUCAAUUAGAGAUUCCGCUCACG